rnacentral:rRNA from 1 species
AUUGAACGCUGGCGGCAGGCCUAACACAUGCAAGUCGAGCGGAUGAAGGGAGCUUGCUCCUGGAUUCAGCGGCGGACGGGUGAGUAAUGCCUAGGAAUCUGCCUGGUAGUGGGGGAUAACGUCCGGAAACGGGCGCUAAUACCGCAUACGUCCUGAGGGAGAAAGUGGGGGAUCUUCGGACCUCACGCUAUCAGAUGAGCCUAGGUCGGAUUAGCUAGUUGGUGGGGUAAAGGCCUACCAAGGCGACGAUCCGUAACUGGUCUGAGAGGAUGAUCAGUCACACUGGAACGGAGACACGGUCCAGACUCCUACGGGAGGCAGCAGUGGGGAAUAUUGGACAAUGGGCGAAAGCCUGAUCCAGCCAUGCCGCGUGUGUGAAGAAGGUCUUCGGAGUGUAAAGCACUUUAAGUUGGGAGGAAGGGCAGUAAGUUAAUACCUUGCUGUUUUGACGUUACCAACAGAUUAAGCACCGGCUAACUUCGUG